AUGUACCACUACUCAUACACUCCGGUUCCUCCGCGCCGUCCGCACGCCCCUGGCGACUGCUCGCUACGUUUUUUUGGCC
rnacentral:sRNA from 1 species